CUACUACUCCCUCCGUCCGGAAAUACUUGUCAUCAAAAUGGAUAAAAGGGGAUGCAUCUAGACGUAUUUUAGUUCUAGAUACAUCUAUUUUUAUCCAUUUUGAUGACAAGUAUUUUCGGACGAAGGGAGUACAUG
rnacentral:pre_miRNA from 1 species